GUCCACGCUGUAAACGAUGACGACUAGGUGUGGGGUGGGUUAGUCCAUUCCGUGCCGCAGCUAACGCAUUAAGUCGUCCGCCUGGGGAGUACGGCCGCAAGGUUGAAACUCAAAGGAAUUGACGGGGGCCCGCACAAGCGGUGGAGCAUGUGGUUCAAUUCGAUGCAGAGCGAAGAACCUUACCUGGGCUUGACAUGUAGGAAGUAGAAACCCGAAAGGGCGACGACCUGUUAAGUCAGGAACCUACACAGGUGGUGCAUGGCUGUCGU
rnacentral:rRNA from 1 species